ensembl:snoRNA
AUCCUUCCUGGUUCAUAAGCAUUCCAGAUUAGGUUUUCACGCUAUUGUGUGAGAUGAGUCUAGCUCAGAUCUUGUUACAAUGUCAGCACAUUACUCCUUUGAUG